rnacentral:lncRNA from 1 species
UCUGAAAUUGUGAACUGGAGCAAAGUCAUUGUAACGCUACUAUUUAGUUUUGCUUUUUUAAAUAGUGAGAAGUUUAAUAUUUAGAACAUUUGACGAGUAGAGAAAAAUUUAAGAUGUUCUGAACUAAUAACGUAUCGGAUGUUUGAAUGUGCGAAGCACGGUCCCCGAUAUUAAUAUAGUAAUACAGUACUAUAGAGAGGCUCAAGUUAUGAUGGCAGUGGAGAAAGAUAGGAGAACAUCGUUGCCGAUUCUCUGCCUUGCCACUGCAAUCUAUAGAGAGUAGCUGUUACCGGUACCUAACUGUUCAUUGUUGUUUAAAAUCAACCAUUAUAUUUUUCAGUUAAUAAAUAAUACAUAUUUA